ensembl:lncRNA
GCAAUGGACUACUAGCUGUAAAGUGUUCAUAAAGCUGAAUGGUACGACGACUACAGAAGACGGAAAAGUCAUGGUCAUUAAUGACAUUGGUGAUCUUGACAGAUUCGAUGUCUGAGAAACUGUCACAGAAAGUGGCCCAGCAGCAACAACCCCCUCAUUCUCCCCUGAUGCAGACUUGAGACAAGGUGAGCUUAUUUCAACAUGAAAGCAGAAAUAAACUAUUUUGACUUGAAUGACUGUAGCAACAGGGUGUUUUAGGCAAUAAUUAAGAUGAGAGGCUAAUUAGUUAAUUAUAUCCUUCAUGCUCCUACAGAGGGGCCUGCUGUUGUAGAUAAAGAAGAUGUGAUAGAGGAUGAUGG